CCUACAGCGGCAAGGACCUGAAUCCGGACAACCUCCUCGUGCAACUGGGUUCUCCCCCAGAGCCUCCAAAAGGAGCGCGGCCUGCCUGGUGCCAUGCUUUCGGCCACAUGAGACCCUGAGCGGAGGACCCAGCUCAGCCGUGCCUGACUGCCGACCUACAGAGCUGUGCGCGAGGAGAUCGUCGUUUCCAGCCCCUGAGCGUGGGGUGACCUGGAACACGGCGUGGGUAACCGGUACAGAUACGCAUUCAGGUGGCCUCCGGGGGGACCCUGGGGGUCCCAGUCAGGGAGGCCUUCCUUGGAGAGUUCCUGAGGCCUGAGUCGUCCCCGGGGUCAGGGCGGAGAGCUCCAGCGUGCAGAAUCAGCAGGUGCCACGGGGCAGGCCCAAGCCGCAGCGGGAGGCGGGGAGACCGCAAACUGCCGCUCUGGGCCUCCUGUUCCUCGUCAGCAAAACAGGACUGACGCCGGCGAGCCGCGGCCGGGUGAAACAAGGGAAUAUGUCCAGCUGUGCUUUGCUCAGGGCCUGGAGCUGGGUGAGGUGCUUGAGCAACCGCGGACGGGAAGAGCGCGCCAAUGUUAACAAUACUUGCCUCGUGAGUUUUACGCGGAUGACCGAAGUGCCCAGGCAAAGUCCCGCAGCGGUAGCAGUGACUCUGGCAUCUCUGCCUCCCUGGCCGGAGCCCCAGUGGGACUCUCACUCCCAAGGGGCAAUGGAGAAGCUGGCCUGGGGCCCCUCCCCCUGCCGGCUCCUGGGGCAAACGGGGACCCUGCCCAUCUCCAGGGGAAGAGACCACACAUUCAUGUCCUCAAGAACCUUUCAGAGAGCUCAAGGAGGUGUUUCUUCCACAGUAAUAAAAGGCAAAUUGUAAAAGACUUCAGAGGGCCUCCUCUUCUGCAUCCGAGGACAGAGUGUGACCUCGACGCCCGCACAGGAGACCAAAAUGGACCAACCUGCUGUUUCGUGAGCUCCGAGAGAGGCAGACUCAGAAGUGACGGCUGGCGUGAGACACAAAGUCGAGACACGGUCGUUCUGUGAUAUUUCCAGGGCGCCCGUCGUGGGCCACACCCGGGGCGGAGUCCUCUGGGCCUCUGGAACCUAGCAGAGGAGACAGACCCCAGCAUACAGGUCGUUCACACCGUGGCAUGAUCGGUGGCAAGCGCGGGACGGUCAGAGAGGCAGUGAGGGAAAGCAUGCCAGGAAGAGAGGGAACAGCCCAGGCAAAGGUACAGAGGCUACAACAGACGUGGCGUGAAAGGAACCACAAGCUGUUCAGCAUGAAAGGUGGGCCGCCUCCUUUGGGAAGGAGCCCCGGGCCUUGCUCUGGACGGGACUCCUGUCUCAGCUUCUGUCCCUUCCAAGACUGACCACGAUGAUUAUUUCACUGAAGGCUCUACUUCCCCGGCAAGCGGCCAGAUGGGGCCCCGGGGAGCCCCCGGAGAGCGAGAACAGCAGCCACGAAGCUGGUGACCGUGGGCUCACCUGGUGUGAGUCUGGCCCGCGCGGGUGUCUGAGUCCUUCAGGUGACCCCGAGCACUGUGGGUUUCAGGACAUGUCACAGGGUCCUCCUGGCCCUUGAGAUGAGAAACUUCGAUGGCUUUGUCCAGUAGCCUUCAUGAUGUUUCCUCAAAUGGACUUCAAUUCCGAUUUUAGACCAAGGUCAAGACAUGCAGAGCACACAGGCCACCGCUCUCCGUUUCUGCACUCGUGGCAGACAUGACUAAUUGAUUGUAGAACCCUCAACCCAGUACCCAGAUGAGUGAUCUUCGGGGCCUGGUCCACCCUUCUCCAUGAGACGGACACCCAGCUCGGUCGUGAAGCCCACGAGGGCCUGACUGCCCUCCCCCUCCUCUGGCCGCCGUUGGCCAAGACGCUUGGAAAACUGUAGAAGCCAGCAUCGAGGGGGGAGGAGAUAAACAUCUCUCUCUCCCUCCCUCCCUCCCUCUCUUCCACGCGUGCGCACGCACACGCUCGCAGGAACACCAGACUGCAUGUAUCACAUCGUCGGAGACAAAGGCAAGGGCAAGCCGCGUGCUGGAGGGCAGCUACAGUCCCGUUUGACGCUCUGUCCCAAGGUCUAGCUAGGACAGUGCCCGGCACACAGAAGCCACUCAAUUAAUAGUUGUCGAGCCAAGGGCAUCUAUGGGUCCGAGCUGUUUUCAGACCAAUCGCACGGUGUCCGGGGCAGGUCACAUCCCAGCCGCCCUGUGGGGGUCCCCUGGGUUAUCAUCUUUCUCCCCGAAAGGGGUGGAGCCUGAGAGGCUGUGUUCUCAUGAAGCAGCUGGUGAAUUAGGGCCUGGAGAAGUUUCCCUGAAGUCUUUAACUCACCACUGAGAUACGGUUCCAGACAAAGGCAGGGCGAGUGGGUCGGGGCGGUGAGAGUCUCGGGCGCUCACCCCCUCACCCCUGUCCCUUCCUCAGGGGAAUUAAUUGGUAGCAAAAAAGAGGACUUUAGGAAAUAGCCGUGUUUAAAGGGCCCCUGCUUAAUGUUCCCUUUAAUUAGAAUGGGUUUCACUUGACAUUUUUUGCUGACCCGCCGGGGGAGGGAAGCCCCCGCCUGAGUGAUUGCCCCCUGACCCCGGGAUUCCUGCGUCUCAGUUAUGCCCCGUUCGUGGGCUCCCUCAGCAGAGUUCAAAAGAAUGGCUUUUCCUACAGCACAACAACAGCCAGAGCGCAAAGAGUCACUCCCCCUGGUCCGGACGCUUCUGUGGGAACCUGGGCCGGGACAUUCCUCUGAAAGAAAAAUGUGCACGCGGGGGGACCGCUGGGUCCCUGCCAAGCCCGGUCGUUCAACAGGCUCAACAGGCAGGGCCUGAGCCCUAGGGAAGACAGGUUCCGCACCACGCCUGGGGAUGGGGACGAGGGGCAAGGUAGGCGUGCACCUGCCCCCGGGGCGCUCUCAGCCAGGCCGAGAGGUGGCCCCCGUGCCGCGGCGACUCUCGCAAGGUGGGACGCGAUGUGAAAGGCCAAGUGCUGGGGGAGCGCAGGGGAGGCGCCUGACUCCAGCCGGGGCAGGACAGGCCUUCACAGGGACAGCUCUGUCUAAGGUGGGACCUCGCAGGAGUCAGGACGAGCGAGGCCGGGCUGCACUAACAAACAGGCUCCAGUCUGAGUGUCUCAACACAACAGAGUUCGGUUCUUUACUCGCGUCUCGGGCCAGCAAGGGUCUUCUCGGUGGGUCCCCUCGAGCAGCGACGCGGGGAUCCAGGUCUGGGGUGGGAGCGAGGCACCCGGUUCGAGCUGCCUCGACCCUGAUGGCAUCUGGAGAGACCGAGGGCCGCAGUUCCAGGGAAGCAGAGGGAGGUUCCCCCUGAACCCAAGAAGAGGCAAUGGAGUGAGACCCACAGAGCCCCAGGUCAAGCCGGAGGCAAGGAGGGCGGCACGGGGCUGAAAUUGUUUACUCCCGACCCACGGAGCCUUUGCCACGUCACCCGGAAUUCACAGCAGCCUUGCUCGAGCCAACAUACGACUUGAGGUUCCCGUGCUGUGAGAUGAAGAUCGUCACGUUCACUUAGCAGGAGCCUCGUGAGGAUUUGGCGAGGAUGUUUGCAAAACUCGGGGCGCCUGGUAGGUAGGUGCUCGGUGGGGGUGCGCCUGCCGGCCCCUC